AAAGUUCAAAUGAAAAUUGCGCUUCACUUCUCUAUCCAUUUCCCUGAAGUUUCUUUCACGCAUUUGCCUGUUUUGUUUGUUGUUUCUCUGUGUGUUGCAGAGUCGGUACAGCUUUCUCUUUCCUUGUAACCCACACUUUGACAAACUCUUCCUGCACUGCACAUAAUCGAAAGUAGUGCUUCUACUUUUUUCACAAUUCAUACGCCAUACCAAUCAAUUAAGCUAAGGUUCUCUUGUUUAACAAAUUCUGCUGCAUUUCUCUCACGGAGGUUCCAUCUGGGUCUCACUCAUGGAAGCAUCAUCACCCAUUUCAAUCCAGCAAACCCCUCUCCAACACCAUCUACCUGAGCCCUCUCCAAAACCUUACAAGAAAAGCUUCGUUACUACUCUAAUGGAGGCUGCCACUCUUCGUACUCCUUCCUUCAAGGAAGACACCUAUUUCAUCUCUCAUCUCAAAUCCUCUGAGAAGAAAGCACUGCAAGAGCUCAGGGACAAACUCUACGCCUCUUAUGAGUCUGAUAGUGAGUGUUCCAUGUGGGGCAUUCCCCUUUUGCAUUGUGAAGAGAAGGCUGACGUGAUACUGUUGAAGUUUCUGCGUGCCAGAGACUUUAGAGUCCCUGAUGCACUUCACAUGCUGGAGAAGUGUUUGUCCUGGAGAAAGGAGUUUGGAGCAGACAGCAUCUGUGAGGAGGAGUUGGGUUUUAAGGAGCUUGAAGGUGUUGUGGCUUAUAUGCAAGCGUAUGACAGGGAAGGACACCCUGUUUGCUACAAUGCUUAUGGGGUCUUCAGAGACAAGGAAAUGUAUGAGAGGAUAUUCGGAGAUGAAGAAAAGCUCAAGAAGUUCCUACGAUGGAGAGUUCAGGUGCUGGAGAGAGGGAUUAAACUUCUGCAUUUUAAGCCUGGUGGGGUUAACUCCAUUAUUCAAGUUACUGAUCUCAAAGACAUGCCCAAAAGAGAACUCAGG
rnacentral:misc_RNA from 1 species